GCGGUUUCAUAACAUACAUGUAUUUAUCGAUUUAUGUUCUGCAUGUGAACGUUUCCAACAACAUAACCAAUUCAAUACGCAAUAUAACUGUUUAAACAACAUUGUUCUCAGCAUUAUGGAUGCAUCAAUUGAAAUCUUAAAAAGUCAGAAAAUAUUUAACUAAUGGCUUACAGUUAAAAAAAAAGAAAACAUUGAAGAAAUGUAAGACAAUGACCUUAACUAGGC
rnacentral:lncRNA from 1 species